rnacentral:rRNA from 1 species
GACGAACGCUGGCGGCGUGCUUAACACAUGCAAGUCGAACGGUGAACGAGGGAGCUUGCUCCCUCCGGAUCAGUGGCGAACGGGUGAGUAACACGUGAGCAAUCUGCCCCUAACUCUGGGAUAAGCGUUGGAAACGACGUCUAAUACCGGAUACUACGCGGGAGGGCAUCCUCUCCGCGUGGAAAGAACUUCGGUUCGGGAUGAGCUCGCGGCCUAUCAGCUUGUUGGUGAGGUAACGGCUCACCAAGGCGCCGACGGGUAGCCGGCCUGAGAGGGUGACCGGCCACACUGGGACUGAGACACGGCCCAGACUCCUACGGGCGGCAGCAGUGGGGAAUAUUGCACAAUGGGCGCAAGCCUGAUGCAGCAACGCCGCGUGAGGGACGACGGCCUUCGGGUUGUAAACCUAUUUUAGCAGGGAAGAAGCGAAAGUGACGGUACCUGCAGAGAAAGCACCGGCUAACUACGUG